ACUAAUAGGAUUUUAAACAAUAUAUGCAUUCUUGUUUCUUCUGGAGUGUGAGCACACAGGAAUCAAGGUUUCCCAGCUUUCCCGCUGCCCCGAAAUCUGCCCCUUUCCCUUCUUGCAAAAGCAGAGCCUCAGUCACAAUCACAGAAUACUGGAAUCAUUUGAGUUGGAAGGGACCUUUAAAGGCCAUCCGGUCCAGCUCCCUGCAAUGAACAGGGACACCUACAGCCGCAUAAUAAUAACAGGGCUCCAGAAGAUGGAGGCAGGACUCCUCCAGAGAUGCUCCCAGCAGACACCCACCUCAUCCCCAGGGAUUAGGAGACAUUUCCAGGCAGUGCUUUUGUGAUCCCAGAGUCAGAAGCAGCCUGUACCAGGAGGGAAGAGCUCAGCCCCACGCACCCCUGCUCCAGCUGCCCCUUCGCCACCGAUGGAAAACUCGCUCUCCCUGCCUUUCCAUGAAUUAUUUUUCCCCCUCCUUCACAAACAAGCUGAAUUUCUGAUUCCCUCCCAAGGCUGUGGAGCCCAUCUGGCUUCGAUAAGCAGCUCGCCAGCUUUAUGGGUCGCGAAAAAUAAAAAUAAACCAACAAACCCCUUCGUGCUGCACCAUGCAACCCCUGCAGCCGCUUUCCAAAAAGGAAAAACAGUGUGCUGCUGGUUUAUGGGGAGAAAAGCUGCAGGUCUCCAAAUUGUUUGCAAGGGACUGCGCCUCUGCACCAGCUCCCAGCCUCUUGUUUUCAGAUGGAGAUACUCCUGGGUCCUACAGGGGCUAUAGCUGCCCAGAGCCGCCAAAGAGAAUUAACCAAAACCAUCACCGUGCAGGAAAACAACCGGGAAAAAGAAAUAUCACUAAGCAUAUCUUGGAAAAAAAAGAUUCGAUUUACACUUCCAGUUGGUGCUGCCCCAAACUCGGCUUUAAAAUCCAGGCACUGCCAACAGCAGAAGGAAGACUGAACCGUUUCAGUGCCGAUGACGGGGUCAGAUCCCUGCUAGGCUCAGGAAUCUCUGCCCGGGGGAGAGAUCCCAAAUCCUGCUUGUGCACAGAGAGAGAAAUCCCAGCUGAGUGCAUGGGUUGGCUUGGCUCGGGCACGCGGGAAAUGCUGCAAAUGCAGCCCUGCCGCCGGGACCACUGCUCCGCGCUUUGCUCUCCUAAAGCAAGACCCCAAAAAGCUGAACACCCCCACGGAAAAACCUCAUUCCUGCAACCACCUCACAGGAGAGCUUACAAAGCAUGCACAGCGCAGGGUUUUCCAAAAGAGCCCUCCGUUCGCUCAUCCCCCAUUGCAAGAGGUAAUGACGGUGGAAUUAUUUUCGGCCGCUGUCACGCACAUGUGAGCACCCGCGUCUGAGGACCUCACUGCUCAGGAAUGGCAGAUAAUUGGCUUUAAUUUGUCAUUACGGAUGUAUUUACAGCUCGGACCGGUCACCGUGACCGAUCAUGUGAGGACGGCUUGUGGAAGGUUGGAGGGGUCUAAUAUUUCGCCGCGCUGCUGGACGGUAACAGGCAGCUCAAGGCAACGUUGGCCCAAGGGUUUGUUUUUUUCCCUCGCCCCCCCCCCGAGACGAGCAAACCCCCCUCCAACGUUAUGUUGAAAUUCGACUGUGUUAUUUGGCGUCAUUUGGGAUGCAGAAGCACGUUCUCUCCUAUUUCCCUGCUUAUUUAAGCGGCGCUUCGCAGCCGCGCGCCAAAGGCGGAUUUACACCUUCCUGCCAGACAGCCCGAAGGCAGCGGGAGCUCGGGACCCAUCUGCAGGGGGAACAGCUGAAUAUUCCCCAUCCUCUGCAUAACGGCACACGUCCCUCGCCCCCAGAGAGCCAUGCCUGCUACAACUCAGCCUUCAGGUUCCGGCAGCGCGAACAAAUUGCAAACACGGGUGUUUGCCUCUGCCCACAGCGCCGAGCGUCCCCACGAGCCCCAUCUCUGCACCCCUUCUUGGAAUAAAGACACGGAUGGAAGUUCGUAUUCAGAGGAGAAAAAAAGAAAGAAUCCUGGUUUGAAAAAGUAUUAGAUUCAGAGCCAUUGCCCGUUGCCCAUUGCCUUCAAUUCUAUUCCUUUGCAGUGUAUAUACACAAAAUCUAUAAUACAUGAUAUUAUAUGUGGCAUAUACUGCACCACAGCUGCUCUAUGCAACACGCCUGUUUGUACUGAGUAAUUAAAGUGCCGUUUCCAAUGA